GGACCGGUGGCCGAGGCGACAAAGGCGCCGGUCUUCACACGGCUGGAAAGGGGUUAAAAUCCCUUCUGGACCG
rfam:Anopheles stephensi strain SDA-500 unplaced genomic scaffold supercont1.215, whole genome shotgun sequence.